GACAGAGGAUGCAAGCGUUAUCCGGAAUGAUUGGGCGUAAGCGUCUGUAGGUGGCUUUUAAGUCCGCCGUCAAAUCCCGAGGCUCAACCCUGGACAGGCGGUGGAACUACCAAGCUGGAGUACGGUAGGGCAGAGGGAAUUUCCGGUGGAGCGGUGAAAUGCGUAGAGAUCGGAAAGAACACCAACGGCGAAAGCACUCUGCUGGCCGACACUGACACUGAGAGACGAAAGCUAGGGGAGCGAACAGG
rnacentral:rRNA from 1 species